UUAAAUAAAAAAAAAAAAAGAGGAGAGGAAGUUUUUGAUUCGGUCAACACCAAAUUUGUCUUGGAAUAGGAAUUAGUGAGUUGAAGUUGGGCUUUUGUCCAAUUGCCAUAAAAAGAGACAAAUAGCAAUAAUUUAAAUUAGAGGGAGUUGUUAAGUGGAAGGCCAAAAGUUAAUAACAACAGUUUUUUAGGUCAUAAAAAAAAAGCGGCGUGAGUAAUGUUCAGUAAAUCACAUGGGUGUUUGCAGUGUG
rnacentral:misc_RNA from 1 species